GAAUAAUGGUCGGGUCAACAUUUUGUCUCGUUGUUACUUAUUUGCCUGAAAACACUUCGUGUUUACAUUCAAAGGGGGCAUGAUGUAGACACCUAAUUUUGUCCCUCCCGAAGUCCAAUUUUAUCCAUUUUUAGCUUACCUUAUCACGCACCCUCACCCAUGUAAUUAUCCCUCCAUAAAAUGAGAAAAAUAACAACCCCUAACUAAUUUUAUCUUAUUAUAACAACCCCUCCCUAUUAAAUUUUAACACCUCACCUACCCCACCUAACCCCUACCCCUACAUACCCUCCCUCUCUCACGGGAUACAAAAUAA
rnacentral:lncRNA from 1 species